CUUUCACAGAAGCGAUGGGAUGUCUGAGCACAAGUGGCUGACUUGGGAGUGACUUUAUGAAGGACUUUUCUGCCUUCCUUAGGCAUAAAACAACUGGAAUUCUGCACCUGCAUCAGAAAAGAACCAGACUGAUUCUGCCAUCCAGUAGCAAGAAACUCACACAGCUAAACGGUUUGAAAUUGAAUCAUCAUAAAUUUGCCAACCAGAAAACAAGGAUGGCUGAAGUCACUUUGACCCUUGCCUGCUACACUGAAGAUGCCAAAGUGUUGUGAGAUUUCCAAGGUUCAGCAUAGCAAUGAAUCUACUGUGCUGAAAAUUUGAAAAUGACUCAGCAGGAUAUUUUUCUUCUCAUCAAGAGUUUCCAAGGCUGUCUACUGUUCUGUAUAUGUAGAGAAUAUUUAAGAGCCCCCCCGCAAAAAAAAAGGCGAACUAAUUUUAAAAAGCCUUGUCAAGUGGUCAGACAGACUGGAACUAGAGGAUUAUAGUCCCUUUAGCCCAAGGAAGAAAAAAAGAAAGAAGAGAAAAGAUGGAAGAGGAAUCGAAGGUAGGUGAAAAUUUGAAUAUUUGUCUUCAAAAGGGGUAGAUAUCUUUGGGAUCAUCUGGGCCUAGAGAGCCCCUUGGAGACUUAGAUAUUCCUAAGGGAAUGGGGGUGGGGUAGGAAAGUAAGGAAAGAUGAGGGACAUGAAUAAAAAGGCAUUACUUCAAGAGUCAUGACCAAAGAAGUGCUAGCCUCUUUCUAUAUAUGACAUUGCUGUGAUCACACCUAUCAGAAGGAAGUGUGAAGUUUUAGGCUCUUCUUUGCCUUAAAUGAAGUUGUAAGAAGUGAAAAGAAAAAAGAAUGAAAUCAGAUUAGCAAAAUAAGCAUGAUUUAUUAUUAUCUAAUGUUUUGAAAAUCCAAGUGUUAUCAUUUGAUCGUGAUCAUGAUCAGAAUGAGUUUUCUCCAUAUAUGUGAUCAUUUAUAUACCAUUUUAAGAUUUACAAAACACCUAUUUCACAACUCUAGGAACUGCUGAAAUUAGGGUCCAGCUAUUUAAAGGCCCAGAGACAAGCUUAAUUUGUUUGUUCAACCAAUGGCAUCAUUCCCUUUCUUGACCCAAUCAAAGAGGAGUUCUCACCUCAUAAAAGGAUCAGGGCAUAGAUUCAUCUUUUGAGUUAGUUUAACACCUUAUUAACAUCUUGUGAUUACCUGGGGAUAAGAGGGAAACUCUCUCUUCAUAUAUCAUUAUCUACACUUAAAAAAAAGUCAGAGGUUGGCAUUUCUAGGAGAGAAGGAAACAAAUUAAGAAUAAUACUU